rnacentral:rRNA from 1 species
GAUGAACGCUGACAGAAUGCUUAACACAUGCAAGUCGAUUCGAUUUACCUUCGGGUAUUGAGGAUGGCGGACGGGUGAGUAACGCGUAAGGAACUUGCCUCUUGGUCUGGGACAACUGUUGGAAACGACAGCUAAUACCGGAUAUUAUGAGAUUCUCGCAUGGGAAACUUAUGAAAGCUAUAUGCGCCAAGAGAGAGCCUUGCGUUCCAUUAGCUAGUUGGUGGGGUAACGGCCCACCAAGGCGACGAUGGAUAGCCGGCCUGAGAGGGUGAACGGCCACAAGGGGACUGAGACACGGCCCUUACUCCUACGGGAGGCAGCAGUGGGGAAUAUUGGACAAUGGGCCACAAGCCUGAUCCAGCAAUUCUGUGUGCACGAUGAAGGUCUUCGGAUUGUAAAGUGCUUUCAGUUGGGAAGAAGCAAGUGACGGUACCAACAGAAGAAGCGACGGCUAGAUACGUGCCAGCAGCCGCGGUAAUACGUAUGUCGCAAGCGUUAUCCGGAUUUAUUGGGCGUAAAGCGCGUCUAGGCGGAAAAAUAANUCUGAUGUUAAAAUGCGGGGCUCAACUCCGUAUUGCGUUGGAAACUGUUUUUCUAGAGUACUGGAGAGGUGGGCGGAACUACAAGUGUAGAGGUGAAAUUCGUAGANAUUUGUAGGAAUGCC